rnacentral:rRNA from 1 species
UACGUAGGAGGCAAGCGUUGUCCGGAAUUACUGGGCGUAAAGGGUGCGUAGGCGGUUGUUUAAGUCUGUCGUGAAAUCCCCGGGCUCAACCUGGGAAUGGCGACGGAUACUGGCGAGCUAGAGUGUGUCAGAGGAUGGUGGAAUUCCCGGUGUAGCGGUGAAAUGCGUAGAGAUCGGGAGGAACAUCAGUGGCGAAGGCGGCCAUCUGGGACAACACUGACGCUGAAGCACGAAAGCGUGGGGAGCAAACAGG